GUUCAAAGCCCAGCUUCACCAGAGACUAGACUAGACCGGUAACCUGGGAGUGCUCUGGGAAGUGUCAAGGAGUUGCUCAUUACUAAGCUCAUUACUAAGAAGCUGGCCGAGCAGAGCAGUUUGUGGGAUGGCAAGUGGAGUUGAGCAGUUUGCGGGCCAGUUGGAGCGGCCUGUGGGAUGGUGAAUAGAGUGAAGCAGACGGCCGAUGGGACUGCAAGCGGAGCGGAGUGGAGCUAAGCAGCUGGCAGAGCAGAGCAGUUUGUGGGAUGGCGAGCAGAGCGGAGCGGAGCCGAGCUGAGCGGAGCAGUUUGCGGGCCGGUUGGAGCAGCCUGCGGGACGGCGAGCGGAGCAGAGCAGUUUGCGGGCCAGUUGGAGCGGCCUGCGGGACGGCGAGCAGAGCAGAGCAGAGCAGUUUUUAGGACGGCGGGAGCGGCUCACAGGAUGGCUGGUGGAGUGGAGCAGCUCGUGGUGAAGGCUGCAGCAGAAUCCCAUGGAGAGGCAAGGCAGUCGGCCUUGGACCAUAUAAGACCCAACAGUGGAAGAAGGCAGGAUGAAGA